rnacentral:rRNA from 1 species
AUUGAACGCUGGCGGCAGGCUUAACACAUGCAAGUCGAGCGGAGAGAUGGUGCUUGCACUAUUACUUAGCGGCGGACGGGUGAGUAAUGCUUAGGAAUCUGCCAUUUAGUGGGGGACAACAUUCCGAAAGGAAUGCUAAUACCGCAUACGUCCUACGGGAGAAAGCAGGGGAUCUUCGGACCUUGCGCUAAAUGAUGAGCCUAAGUCGGAUAGCUAGUUGGUGGGGUAAAGGCCUACCAAGGCGACGAUCUGUAGCGGGUCUGAGAGGAUGAUCCGCCACACUGGGACUGAGACACGGCCCAGACUCCUACGGGAGGCAGCAGUGGGGAAUAUUGGACAAUGGGCGGAAGCCUGAUCCAGCCAUGCCGCGUGUGUGAAGAAGGCCUUUUGGUUGUAAAGCACUUUAAGCGAGGAGGAGGCUCUCCUAGUUAAUACCUAGGAAGAGUGGACGUUACUCGCAGAAUAAGCACCGGCUAACUCUGUGCCAGCAGCCGCCGUAAGAC